AUAAAAAGCAUUAUCUAGAUUGAUAUGGAUUUGGUUGAAUAGCCCAGUGAAUUAAUUCAUCCAAGUGUGUGACCUAGAUAAUGAAGAUAGCAAUGAGCUGUGCUUGAAUUAUAUUGGGAAAUUUGUUAGUGCUUUUACUAAGUCCUAAAUGUUUACUGCCACAUUUCUUUAAAUACCAAUAUUUUUUAGGCAAUGCUAAAUGGCUGAAAAUCAUGGCACACCAUGAUCCUGGAGGAAUUAAAGUUACCAACAGCCCAAAGAUUCAAUUUGAGGAGGGCAACGUUGGAAGGAAGGUGUGAAUUAGGACUUGAGGAAAGAACUGGCACUGGACGGUUGGGGCAGAACUACAGAGUAAAUCAAGGAACAAUCUUAGAGAUCAGAAACCAUUCUGGUUCAGUUUUCCCACUGGAAGUAUGGAUGGUUGCUCUUCAUUGAAUCCUGAACCCCAUUUGAGAGGCAUAUCUCUCUAAAGCAGAAUUGGGCUAGAUAGAAAUCUAGGUCCUCUGGCUCAAAGUCAACCUUCUUGUUAAGUUCCCACAAUGUAUAUGGAGUGUAUGUAUAUGGGGUGUUCAGGGAGGACUAGUGUCUCAGGGCUGUUCUUCCACCUUUGAUUUCACCCAACUCUCACCCAUGGCUCCAAGAAGCAUUUCCAGUAGCCACAUGGAUAAACCAGCUUAAAGGAAACCAACAGACCUUAAUCUAGUUGGUUUGGUAGGGGGAGUGUGUGUGAAGAUUUCCCUGGCAAAAUGGAUGGAUGAAAACAAUUUGUUCCAACAGCCAUGAUGUUUGGUCAGGCACUGAAAUGUCAUCCAAAGUCAUCUAUAGCAUCCCAAGCUAUCCUCAGUCAUCCUAUCUUUUGUCUUAACUCUGGAAGAGAGUGAGACUGAUGACUUUGUGCAACUCUGUCUCACUUAAAUAUAAUUCAGGAGUAAGGCAAGACAUUACCCCUGGAUAUCAUUGGUCCUCUUCCAAAAACAAAAGACAAAUAAUAAUCAGGUUGGAUGAGAAAAAAAUUUGGAAAGGGUUAAUCAUCACCUGUUACCUGUUACAAGCAUAGUACAGCUGUGGGGAACACAAAGUUCUUCAUGGCAGAACUGGAUAUGCAGUAAAUGUAGGUUCCAUCACUUAAUAUCUAUAUGGCCUGGGGUUCAAGCCUCAAGUCUCAUCUUCAUUUUAGUCCAUCCUUGACAAAGCUGUCAAAGUAAGGUCUGACCUUGUGACACUCUUUCAAUCAACGCAUGUGGCUUCUAAUUGCCCCUAGAAUAAAAUAUAAAUUCUGUCUAGCUUUCA
rnacentral:lncRNA from 1 species